UACAGAGGUCUCAAGCGUUGUUCGGAUUCAUUGGGCGUAAAGGGUGCGUAGGUGGCGAUGGAAGUCUGGUGUGAAAUCUCGGGGCUCAACCUCGAAAUUGCAUUGGAUACUGCGUUGCUUGAGGAUUGUAGAGGAGAGUGGAAUUCACGGUGUAGCAGUGAAAUGCGUAGAUAUCGUGAGGAAGACCAGUUGCGAAGGCGACUCUCUGGGCAAUUCCUGACACUGAGGCACGAAGGCCAGGGGAGCAAACGGG
rnacentral:rRNA from 1 species